rnacentral:rRNA from 1 species
CGGAAUUACUGGGCGUAAAGCGCACGCAGGCGGUCUGUCAAGUCGGAUGUGAAAUCCCCGGGCUCAACCUGGGAACUGCAUUCGAAACUGGCAGGCUUGAGUCUUGUAGAGGGGGGUAGAAUUCCAGGUGUAGCGGUGAAAUGCGUAGAGAUCUGGAGGAAUACCGGUGGCGAAGGCGGCCCCUUGGACAAAGACUGACGCUCAGGUGCGAAAGCGUGGGGAGCAAACAGGAUUAGAUACCCUGGUAGUCCACGCCGUAAACGAUGUCUACUUGGAGGUUGUGCCCUUGAGGCGUGGCUUCCGGAGCUAACGCGUUAAGUAGACCGCCUGGGGAGUACGGCCGCAAGGUUAAAACUCAAAUGAAUUGACGGGGGCCCGCACAAGCGGUGGAGCAUGUGGUUUAAUUCGAUGCAACGCGAAGAACCUUACCUGGUCUUGACAUCCACGGAAGUUUUCAGAGAUGAGAAUGUGCCUUCGGGAACCGUGAGACAGGUGCUGCAUGGCUGUCGUCAGCUCGUGUUGUGAAAUGUUGGGUUAAGUCCCGCAACGAGCGCAACCCUUAUCCUUUGUUGCCAGCGAUUAGGUCGGGAACUCAAAGGAGACUGCCAGUGAUAAACUGGAGGAAGGUGGGGAUGACGUCAAGUCAUCAUGGCCCUUACGACCAGGGCUACACACGUGCUACAAUGGCGCAUACAAAGAGAAGCGACCUCGCGAGAGCAAGCGGACCUCAUAAAGUGCGUCGUAGUCCGGAUUGGAGUCUGCAACUCGACUCCAUGAAGUCGGAAUCGCUAGUAAUCGUGGAUCAGAAUGCCACGGUGAAUACGUUCCCGGGCCUUGUACACACCGCCCGUCACACCAUGGGAGUGGGUUGCAAAAGAAGUAGGUAGCUUAACCUUCGGGAGGGCGCUUACCACUUUGUGAUUCAUGACUGGGGUGAAGUCGUAACAAGGUAACCGUAGGGGAACCUGCGGUUGGAUCACCUCCUUACCUUAAAGAAGC